AGAUUCCUCAAAGUAAUGGCCAUGGUGUGGGCCGGAAGCCAAAUUACUUAGCUUAUAAGAGCUGGCGGAGCGCUUGCCCUUGCACCUUUUGUAGACAGAGGAUUGUCAUGGUUCACUGUGAAAUUUAAGUUUGAGUCUCAGGGGAAGGCUUUCAUGGCAAUUGUUGGGUUCUGUUUUGCACUGGCUAUCAUCCUAUUUUUGGU